CCGCUCUCUGCGGAGCUGCUGCAGCACGCCCGAGGUCUGAGCCCGUGGAUUCAGCGCGGAUUCAGCAGCCAGGUGCAGCAGAGCACUAGGAAAAGGGAGUAGUGCGGUGUGUGACGGCGAGAUUCACCAGUGCCUCUUCCACAGCUGCACAUCAGCCUGGAUGUAGUCACCCUGUCAGGAGUGUAAAAUUUACAGCAGAAAUAAUUUUAAUGCUGGAAAAGCUCUUACUCAUCUGAACCAUCAUUCAAAAUGCACAGUGAAAGUCUCCAAGCAGAAGUUUUCCAUCCCACUGUCUGCAGGACUCCUGCAGGUCUUCUGAUGCUUAAGCAUAUCUGUCUCAGGCUGCCCCUAAAAAGAAAAAGAAGUAAUCUGGCAAAAUGAACUCAGAACACACAAAGAAGAACCACUGGAGACUAAUCUGCAAGGUAUUCAG